UUAAGAUCUGGUACGUACAAUGUGUCAA
rnacentral:sRNA from 1 species